rnacentral:rRNA from 1 species
UAUGUGAUCGUCUCUCGCAUAUCAAUAAGCGGAGGAAAAGAAACUAACAAGGAUUCCCCUAGUAACGGCGAGUGAAGCGGGAAGAGCUCAAAUUUGAAAUCUUAAAGGGUUUCCCUUUACGAAUUGUAGUUUAAAGAAGUGUUUUCUGUUGAGGUUUUGGUAAAAGUUCUUUGGAAUAGGACAUCAUAGAGGGUGAGAAUCCCGUAUUUGACCUUUACUUUCAACUUUGUGAUACACUUUCAAAGAGUCGGAUUGUUUGGGAAUGCAGUCCAAAAUGGGUGGUAAAUUUCAUCUAAAGCUAAAUAUUGGCGAGAGACCGAUAGCGAACAAGUACCGUGAGGGAAAGAUGAAAAGAACUUUGAAAAGAGAGUUAAACAGUACGCGAAAUUGUCAAAAGGGAAGCGUUUGACACCAGUGUUGUUUUUCUGAAAAUCAAUUAAAGAACUGUUUAUGCUAAGCUGUUUAGACUUUAUCAGCUAUCUGUUUAGUUUUAGGCUUUUCUUUAAUGCACUUUUCAGUUAACAAGUCAACAUCAAUUUCUUUUGCUGUAAAAAAGCUUGAGGAAGGUGGCUUGAGAUUCGUCUUAAGUGUUUAUAGCCUCUUGCCUAUGCAGUCGGAGAGAUUGAGGUCUGCAGCGUAGAUCCUUCGGGGCUAAAUGCAUUUGUGCUAAGUUAUAGCAUUUUAUAGACAACUUGUUGACUAUGAUUUGUCUUGUAGCUUACUCGCUUAUGUUAUUUUACCUACGCUUAGGAUGUUGAUCUACAGAGCGAGAGU